ACAAUGGGCGCAAGCCUGAUCCAGCAAUGCCGCGUGCAGGAUGAAGGCCUUCGGGUUGUAAACUGCUUUUGUACGGAACGAAAAGCCCUGGGUUAAUACCCUGGGGUCAUGACGGUACCGUAAGAAUAAGCACCGGCUAACUACGUGCCAGCAGCCGCGGUAAUACGUAGGGUGCGAGCGUUAAUCGGAAUUACUGGGCGUAAAGCGUGCGCAGGCGGUUUUGUAAGACAGAGGUGAAAUCCCCGGGCUCAACCUGGGAACUGCCUUUGUGACUGCAAGGCUAGAGUACGGCAGAGGGGGAUGGAAUUCCGCGUGUAGCAGUGAAAUGCGUAGAUAUGCGGAGGAACACCGAUGGCGAAGGCAAUCCCCUGGGCCUGUACUGACGCUCAUGCACGAAAGCGUGGGGAGCAAACAGGAUUAGAUACCCUGGUAGUCCACGCCCUAAACGAUGUCAACUGGUUGUUGGGUCUUAACUGACUCAGUAACGAAGCUAACGCGUGAAGUUGACCGCCUG
rnacentral:rRNA from 1 species